CAGGUUCCUGCACUUUGGCCUCAAGAACCCCAUGCAGCGCUACAGUCUGGGCACAGAGUGGCUGGAGAGCAUCCAGGCAGAAAGGUAUCUGGGGGUGCUGAUUGACAGGAACCUAAACAUGAGCCAGCAGUGUGCCCA